AUUGAACGCUGGCGGCAUGCCUUACACAUGCAAGUCGAACGGUAACAGGUCUUCGGAAGCUGACGAGUGGCGAACGGGUGAGUAAUACAUCGGAACGUGCCCGAGAGUGGGGGAUAACGAAGCGAAAGCUUUGCUAAUACCGCAUACGAUCUCAGGAUGAAAGCAGGGGACCGCAAGGCCUUGCGCUCACGGAGCGGCCGAUGGCCGGUUAGGUAGUUGGUGGGAUAAAAGCGUACCAAGCCGACGAGCUGUAGCUGGUCUGAGAGGACGACCAGCCACACUGGGACUGAGACACGGCCCAGACUCCUACGGGAGGCAGCAGUGGGGAAUUUUGGACAAUGGGCGCAAGCCUGAUCCAGCCAUGCCGCGUGCAGGAUGAAGGCCUUCGGGUUGUAAACUGCUUUUGUACGGAACGAAAAGACUCCUUCUAAUAAAGGGGGUCCAUGACGGUACCGUAAGAAUAAGCACCGGCUAACUACGUGCCAGCCGCCGCCGUAAUAC
rnacentral:rRNA from 1 species